GAACACAGGCUGGCUAGUAGAUGAGCUGAGGGAAGGACUAGAAAAACAUCCUUGACAGGACACAGAGCCGUGGGACUAAAUGAAACAAGGGGAAGAAGAUUGUAGACAACAGAGACUACAGGAACUGAGAGUAAUGGGGUCAAGAGGACGAGGGAAAAUGCCUUCCUUCAUUUUAGGUCAGACUCUCAUUCUGCGAUUGAUGUUAAUUCAGCCUAUCCCCUAAGGAAACUCACAGAGGACUGAGGAGUUACACUUACAAAUUGGAACAAAUCCAAUGGACAGAGAACAGGAUGGUUAGAAGACUAGAGACUGUCUGAUAUGAAGACUAGCCCUAGGACCCAAGGAAG